rnacentral:rRNA from 1 species
UACGGAGGGUGCAAACGUUGCUCGGAAUCAUUGGGCGUAAAGCGCACGUAGGCGGACUGUUAAGUCGGACGUGAAAUCCCUCAGCUUAACUGAGGAAGUGCAUUCGAAACUGGCAGUCUUGAGUACGGGAGAGGGUCGCGGAAUUCCCGGUGUAGAGGUGAAAUUCGUAGAUAUCGGGAGGAACACCAGUGGCGAAGGCGGCGGCCUGGACCGAUACUGACGCUGAGGUGCGAAAGCGUGGGGAGCAAACAGGG